CAGAUUUUCAAGACACAUGUUACAGAUAUGGAACAGGAUAUGCAAGAGUGAUCCGAAGACUUAGAAAUGUCUGUGUUACAUCUAGAAUUGAAAAUGAAUCGAAGAAUUGUACCUGUAAUUCUGGACACCGUGGUUAUAAUUCAGUCAUAUUCUAAUGGUAUGGCUUCAACAGACGGAUUAGUGGCAUGUGGCAAACAAGUCACCAGAAGCAGAGAUACAACAAUUGAGGAUUGCUGUGUGCACACAUACUUGGACUAAAAUUAUCUGAGAUAACAAGACAAAUGCUGAAUCCGAAUGGACUGAAGACUGAGUGGAGAAGAAUGGAGAAUGGACAAAGUCUCCACAGAUUGCCUGCACAUAGCUCUGGGAAGAUGAAACUCAUUUUGGUCAAGUUCCUCUGCCAGAGUCAAACUACUGACAUUUUGAAAAACUGUUCCUUUCAUGAGAUAGUGGAAAGCAGAAAUAUUGGAGGUGUAGUGCUUGUGACCAAAAACUCUGUUCAGGCUGAUUCCCUGUACUUUAAACUAUGCAGAUCACUUUUGUUUGGGAAACUGAAGAGGCUGAAUGAGGAAAGGGGUCGUGUCAACGCACUCCUGGCAGUGUCACUAAAAGAGUAAUUUCUUUCUUCUUGGACUCAUCCACAGCAAGGAAUAAGCCUCAGAACUGCCAGUGAAAAAGCAAAAGCAAACCCUUCAGUCAUUGGAAUUUAAUUUUUAUUAGAGAGAACAAUGGAAAAGAAAAAAGAAAAAAAAAGAAUAAGAUAAAAAGAAAUUUCAACCUGAUGUCUACAUAAUUCUAAUAUAAAAUGCAACUGAUGUGAAUUGCAAAGAAGACCUCACAAACUUAUGAUUAUCAUUUGGGGAAGGAAGUGAGAAAGGCAUGACAUUAAUGCUUAAUUUUUUUAGUUAUUUGAUUCCCAGUACUGCAUACUGGGAUAAAAGGCCAAAAUGUAUGUGAGAAAAGUAUCAUACAGUGACAAUUCAUGAAGGAGAAGCAAGCAUACUUCUCCUCUAGGAAAGGCAUAAAGGAUAUUAUUUUUUUGUAUAAAAUGAUGAAAUUUAACAGUAGGAAUCUGGUUAAAUUGGUGCAGGUUUUCAACAUACACAGACAAGUUAUGGGAGUGGAGUCUUUGGAUUUAAAAUACUCUGUUGAUAAAAGAAUAAAUUAUUGAAUUUGAGAAUCCCUUACCGAUAU
rnacentral:lncRNA from 1 species